rnacentral:rRNA from 1 species
AGUGAACGCUGGCGGUAGGCCUAACACAUGCAAGUCGAACGGCAGCACAGGAGAGCUUGCUCUCUGGGUGGCGAGUGGCGGACGGGUGAGGAAUACAUCGGAAUCUACUCUGUCGUGGGGGAUAACGUAGGGAAACUUACGCUAAUACCGCAUACGACCUACGGGUGAAAGCAGGGGACCUUCGGGCCUUGCGCGAUUGAAUGAGCCGAUGUCGGAUUAGCUAGUUGGCGGGGUAAAGGCCCACCCAGGCGACGAUCCGUAGCUGGUCUGAGAGGAUGGUCAGCCAAACUGGAACUGAGACACGGUCCAGACUCCUACGGGAGGCAGCAGUGGGGAAUAUUGGACAAUGGGCGCAAGCCUGAUCCAGCCAUACCGCGUGGGUGAAGAAGGCCUUCGGGUUGUAAAGCCCUUUUGUUGGGAAAGAAAUCCAGCUGGCUAAUACCCGGUUGGGAUGACGGUACCCAAAGAAUAAGCACCGGCUAACUUCGUGCCAGCCGCCGCCGUAA